GACCCCCGGUCAGGCGGGGUCACCCGCUGAGUUU
rnacentral:rRNA from 1 species